UACAGAGGUCCCAAGCGUUGUUCGGAUUCAUUGGGCGUAAAGGGUGCGUAGGUGGCGCGCUAAGUCGGGUGUGAAAUUUCGGAGCUUAACUCCGAAACUGCAUUCGAUACUGGUGUGCUUGAGGACUGGAGAGGAGACUGGAAUUCAUGGUGUAGCAGUGAAAUGCGCAGAUAUCAGGAGGAACACCAAUUGCGAAGGCAGCUCGCUGGGACGUUACUGACGCUGAGACGCGAAAGCGUGGGGAGCAAACAGG
rnacentral:rRNA from 1 species